rnacentral:tRNA from 1 species
GCCCGAAUAGCUCAGUUGGUAGAGCGACGCAUUCGUAAUGCGUAGGUCCGGAGUUCAACUCUCCGUUCGGGCUCCA